rnacentral:sRNA from 1 species
AUGCAGUGGGAUGAAGCAAUCCAUGGGUCUUAGGAAAAGAGAGGCAAUUAGUUGGAGUGAAUUAAGGACUUUUAAAUGCCCUUCCUCCAAAUACAAUUUCAAGUUUGUUCAUACUUUGCCAAUUUCUCUGCUAGAAUUCCAGAAAAUGCAGCAAAAAAGGAAAGUGUUUAUGGAUUGAUAAUCACACUAAUAGCAAAGGAUGUUGGCAAAAGCAUGGCGAACCGGCAAGUCACGAAACGGCAAUGGACUCCGUUUUGGAGUCUU